UCCCUGGUGGUCCAGUGGUGAAGACUCUGAGCUUCCAAUUUAAGGGGGGGCCCAGGUUCAAGCCCUGCUCAGGGAA
rnacentral:tRNA from 1 species